GAUGAACGCUGGCGGCGUGCCUAAUACAUGCAAGUCGAGCGAACAGACGAGGAGCUUGCUCCUCUGACGUUAGCGGCGGACGGGUGAGUAACACGUGGAUAACCUACCUAUAAGACUGGGAUAACUUCGGGAAACCGGAGCUAAUACCGGAUAAUAUAUUGAACCGCAUGGUUCAAUAGUGAAAGACGGUUUUGCUGUCCCUUAUAGAUGGAUCCGCGCCGCAUUAGCUAGUUGGUAAGGUAACGGCUUACCAAGGCGACGAUCCGUAGCCGACCUGAGAGGGUGAUCGGCCACACGGGAACGGAGCCACGGUCCAGACUCCUACGGGAGGCACCAGUAGGGAAUCUUCCGCAAUGGGCGAAAGCCUGACGGAGCAACGCCGCGUGAGGGAUGAAGGUCUUCGGAUCGUAAAACUCUGUUAUUAGGGAAGAACAAAUGUGUAAGUAACUAUGCACGUCUUGACGGUACCUAAUCAGAAAGCCACGGCUAACUACGUG
rnacentral:rRNA from 1 species